rnacentral:rRNA from 1 species
UACGAAGGGUGCAAGCGUUACUCGGAAUUACUGGGCGUAAAGCGUGCGUAGGUGGUGAGUUAAGUCUGAUGUGAAAUCCCCGGGCUCAACCUGGGAAUGGCAUUGGAUACUGGCUCGCUGGAGUGCGGUAGAGGGUGGUGGAAUUCCUAGUGUAGAGGUGAAAUUCGUAGAUAUUAGGAAGAACACCAGUGGCGAAGGCGGCUCACUGGCCCGGUACUGACGCUGAGGCGCGAAAGCGUGGGGAGCGAACGGG